UACGUAGGGUGCAAGCGUUAAUCGGAAUUACUGGGCGUAAAGCGUGCGCAGGCGGUUAUAUAAGUCAGAUGUGAAAUCCCCGGGCUCAACCUGGGAACUGCAUUUGAGACUGUAUGGCUAGAGUGUGUCAGAGGGGGGUAGAAUUCCACGUGUAGCAGUGAAAUGCGUAGAUAUGUGGAGGAAUACCGAUGGCGAAGGCAGCCCCCUGGGAUAACACUGACGCUCAUGCACGAAAGCGUGGGGAGCAAACAGGAUUAGAAACCCUCGUAGUCC
rnacentral:rRNA from 1 species